rnacentral:lncRNA from 1 species
ACUUGAUACAAGCGAGCUUUCCAAAAUGUAUGAAGAAAUUAUGACAGUAUGCAAGAAAAGAGAAAUGCGUUUUUGGGGAGUGUUAGGCUAACCCAUUCCAGGUGUGUCUUUUAGGGCCAGAAGGGUGGGUCUGUCAUUAGGGCCAGCUGUGGGGAUGAGUUUAGGUUGAGAGGGCAGCUCAGGUUUUGCUUUGGCUUUUGUAGAAGGUAGUGGGAGAACUAUGCUUGGCUGGAGCAUUUCUGCUGAUUAAGCUGGAGGGCCUUGCAAGUGGAUGAGAGACUGCUUGUGGAAAAUGGACUUUUCGGACCUGUUUGGCGUGCCACUAAGAGUCUAACAAAAAGAUGUUUUUGCAGUGUUGUGUUAACCUCUGAAGCAGACUCUUCCUUUUGAUCCUGACGACAUAAGCUGCAGUGGGG